rnacentral:rRNA from 1 species
AACGAACGCUGGCGGCAUGCCUAACACAUGCAAGUCGAACGAGACCUUCGGGUCUAGUGGCGCACGGGUGCGUAACGCGUGGGAAUCUGCCCUUGGGUUCGGAAUAACAGUUGGAAACGACUGCUAAUACCGGAUGAUGACGUAAGUCCAAAGAUUUAUCGCCCAGGGAUGAGCCCGCGUAGGAUUAGCUAGUUGGUGGGGUAAAGGCUUACCAAGGCGACGUUCCUUAGCUGGUCUGAGAGGAUGAUCAGCCACACUGGGACUGAGACACGGCCCAGACUCCUACGGGAGGCAGCAGUGGGGAAUAUUGGACAAUGGGCGAAAGCCUGAUCCAGCAAUGCCGCGUGAGUGAUGAAGGCCUUAGGGUUGUAAAGCUCUUUUACCCGGGAUGAUAAUGACAGUACCGGGAGAAUAAGCCCCGGCUAACUCCGUG